UACGUAGGAGGCAAGCGUUAUCCGGAAUGACUGGGCGUAAAGGGUGCGUAGGUGGUUUGGCAAGUUAGUAGCGUAACCCCGGGGCUCAACCUCGGAACUACUACUAAAACUGUCGGACUUGAGUGCAGGAGGGGCAAUUGGAAUUCCUAGAGUAGCGGUGGAAUGCGUAGAUAUAUGGAAGAACACCAGUGGCGAAGGCGGCUCUCUGGUCUGCAACUGACGCUGAGGCUCGAAAGCAUGGGUAGCGAACAGG
rnacentral:rRNA from 1 species